UCUAUCUGCGAUUCCUUUGUAAUUCCCUCUCCUUCCUGCAUGCCAUGUGUGUGUGCCUUUGCUGACUUCUUAUCUGUGAUUCCUUUGUAAUUCACUCUCCUUCCUACAUGCCAUACUUUAUGACAAUUACUUGUGUUGGUUCCCAAAGGUUCUUAACCACUUGCUAAUGAGUGCCCAAUUAAUGAUUGUUAAGUCCUUCAUGCAUAUAUGACUUUUGUACUGAGGAUGGCAGGCUUCCUUCCAAUUAACCAAAUGAUAAGUAUUUUGAUCGAUGACAUGGAGUAAAUUGGCAAAUUUGAGAGAGCUUCCUUUCUUUAUAAGAGUGAAUGCUCUACCUCCUAAUGAUCACGAUGAUGUUGCAACUUGUAUUGUCAGGCUUCGGUCUGCCACAACCGAAACAUAUGAGAUACAAAUUGGGGAUUGCAAAUCAUCCAUUCAAUUGAAGCAUGGCAAAUGUGGCUAAGGAGUUCUUUAGUGCCACAAGGUAGAGAAAGAAGGGCUAGACUGGUUUGUUAGUUACACACCAUUUAAAAAUGGUGGUGACUCUUCCAAUGUACAUAUGGCAUAGUUGUAUUGCUAUCCAGACCGUGCAAAUUAAUGAUGUAACUGUGGAUAGAUCAUAAUAAAACCAUAGUGCCGACGAGAUGGAAAACCAUCUUAUUUUUCAUUUGAAUUUGGAUCACUCACUAUUUUACUUUUAACCAUUCAUUUGUUAGCCAUUGAUGGGAUGAUUAGGAUUGUUUGAUUAGUGUCAUGUUUACAGAUUGGUCCAUGGGUCAAUAAGGAUCCAUGCUUGCCAAAUAGUGGACAUCUGAGGCCAUUUUAUGAUGGGUUGCUGACAUCAUCAUUUGCUAGUGAUGUCAGAGCCCAUGGGUCUCCAAACAAUGAAGGAAUGGGUAUUGUAUGUUGGAACAAAAGGUUGCUAAUAUCAGGUAUCUCUAGAGCCGUUCCAUGCAUUUCCAUUUCAUCUUCACUGGGAAAGGCCAACUUUGUUGUAGUGAGGUGCAGAAAAUAUGCCAAAGAUUGGAUUGAUUUGGGAUGAAUUUCUUUUUCUACUAGGGGAGGUAUUUUGUAAAUGGGCUCCUAUGAUAGGCAACAUCCCAAGUUUUUAAUGGGAUCAUGCCAGAAUGUAGCAGUCUUGUUACAAGUUUGUUAAUAAUAAUAAAAAAAGUUUCUGUUGAAAAAA